AAGUCGUAACAAGGUUUCCGUAGGUGAACCUGCGGAAGGAUCAUUACAAUUCAGUAGCUUGCUACUGUCGGGAGGUGCUGUAAGCCCGCAUAGUUUAAUUACUGAUGAGCGGCAGGCCCUCUGUCUGUACCCUUGUCUUUUGCGCACUCAUGUUCCUCGGCGGGCUUGCCCGCCGAUUGGACAACACUAUAACCUUUUUAAUUUUCAAUCAGCGCCUGAAAAAACUUAAUAAUUACAA
rnacentral:misc_RNA from 1 species